UGCGUAGGCGGCGAGGAAAGUUUGAGGUGAAAUCUCCAGGCUCAACUUGGAAAUUGCCUUGAAGACUUCCUUGCUCGAGGGUCGUAGAGGAGACUGGAAUUCUCGGUGUAGCAGUGAAAUGCGUAGAUAUCGAGAGGAACACCAGUGGCGAAAGCGGGUCUCUGGACGACACCUGACGCUGAGGCACGAAAGCCAGGGAGCAAACG
rnacentral:rRNA from 1 species